GUGGGGAAUAUUGGACAAUGGGCGAAAGCCUGAUCCAGCCAUGCCGCGUGAGUGAUGAAGGCCUUAGGGUUGUAAAGCUCUUUCAGUAGGGAAGAUAAUGACGGUACCUACAGAAGAAGCCCCGGCUAACUUCGUGCCAGCAGCCGCGGUAAUACGAAGGGGGCUAGCGUUGUUCGGAUUUACUGGGCGUAAAGCGCACGUAGGCGGAUUGGUCAGUUAGAGGUGAAAUCCUGGAGCUCAACUCCAGAACUGCCUUCGAUACUGGCGAUCUUGAGUCCGGAAGAGGUGAGUGGAACUCCUAGUGUAGAGGUGGAAUUCGUAGAUAUUAGGAAGAACACCAGUGGCGAAGGCGGCUCACUGGUCCGGUACUGACGCUGAGGUGCGAAAGCGUGGGGAGCAAACAGGAUUAGAAACCCGGGUAGUCC
rnacentral:rRNA from 1 species